AAAUAUUCACCACCCUGAAACUGCACUUGAUUCCUUCACACGGGAAGCUUCUGGAAGCUGUAAGGGUGACAGGUAUCAAAAAAGAAGGAAGACUGCCCCCAGGCCGGGAGGGUCUGUUGGUGUGCUGCUCUUGUUCCAUGAAAUCCAGUGCAUUCCAUAGAAAUUCUAGAAGUCUUCACAUGGCUAGCUCCUCCCUGCUGCUUCUGAAUUGGUUUCCCAGACAAACUAUUUGGGACAUAUUGUCACUGAAACAUUAUUCACUGUUUAUCUGAAGUUCAAAUUCGACUUUCUAUCCUCUGGCCACUCUAAUUCCUAGUGACUUAGAUUCUGAGCACAAAAUGAACUGGAACAAACAAACGAACAAAAUGACUUUCAUUCUACAUGGAAGAAAUGUAUACUCAACAAACUUAAUUCUUUGUGCAUCGACACUGCCGUGGAUUCAUACAUCCCCCUGGAAGAUACCAGGGACUUACUCUGGAAACGUACACAGGGCGCCUCAGGAAGUUUGUGGGAAAAUAGAAGUAAAAGGCCUGUGGUGAGAGCUGCGUGUUAAAAGCUCACUCCACGGAGCCGGCACUGUGGCGUAGUGGCUAAGCCUCUGCCAGCAGCUCCAGCAUCCCACAUGGGCACCUCUAGUCCUGUCUGCUCCUCUUCCAAUCCAGCUGUCUGCUAAUGUACCUGGGAGAGUAGCGGAAGAUGGCCCAAGGGCUCAUCUAUGUGGGAGAUCCAGAAGAAAUUCCUGGCUUUGGCCAUUUGGGAAGUGAACCAACGGAUAGAAGACCUUUCUCUCUCUCUCUCCCUCUCUUUAUAUCUCUUUUUUUUUCUUUUUGAAAAUUUUAUUUAAGGCAUACAAAUUACAUAUAUUUCGUAUAUACAGAUUCAGAAACACAGUGAUGCUAGUCAAAUUUUCAAAAGUAAAGCAUAAAGUAAAUAACCAAGAAUGAGCAAGAAAGAAUUGCCAGACCACCUUCAAAGGAAAUCCUAUCAGACUGAUAGAAGAUUUCUCAACAGAAACACUACUGCCCAGGAAAGAGAUAUACAGUCUAAGUCCUAAAACAAAAACAUUACCAACCCAGAAUACUUUAUCCAGUGAAGCUCUCACUCAUAAAUGAAGGUAAAAUAAAGACUUUUAAAAACAAACA
rnacentral:lncRNA from 1 species